UACGAAGGGGGCUAGCGUUGCUCGGAAUCACUGGGCGUAAAGCGCACGUAGGCGGCUUUCUAAGUCAGGGGUGAAAUCCUGGAGCUCAACUCCAGAACUGCCUUUGAUACUGGAGAGCUUGAGUCCGGAAGAGGUGAGUGGAACUCCGAGUGUAGAGGUGAAAUUCGUAGAUAUUCGGAAGAACACCAGUGGCGAAGGCGGCUUCCUGGACACCAACUGACGCUG
rnacentral:rRNA from 1 species